rnacentral:misc_RNA from 1 species
UCCGGCUUAUCACCGGCAGUUUUCUCAGAGUGCUCAGCCUAACCUGUUAGCAACAGAGAAUGAGGGUUGCGCUCGUUGCGGGACUUAACCCAACAUCUCACGACACGAGCUGACGACAGCCAUGCAGCACCUGUGCUCCUCCCACCCGAAGUGAAGGACUCCCUUUCAGGAGCCCACAGAGGGCAAGUCAAGGCCUGGUAAGGUUCUUCGCGUUGCCUCGAAUUAAACCACAUGUUCCACCGCUUGUGCGGGUCCCCGUCAAUUCCUUUGAGUUUUAAUCUUGCGACCGUACUCCCCAGGCGGGGUGCUUAACGCGUUAGCUACGCUACUGAGAGGUAACCCCCCAACAGCUAGCACCCAUCGUUUACAGCGCGGACUAC